UGGGGUGUCGCCAAGCGGUAAGGCAACGGACUCUGACUCCGUCAUCCGAGGUUCGAAUCCUCGCACCCCAG
rfam:Geobacter uraniireducens Rf4, complete genome.